GACGAACGCUGGCGGCGUGCUUAACACAUGCAAGUCGAACGGAAAGGCCCUGCGUUUGUUGGGUGCUCGAGUGGCGAACGGGUGAGUAACACGUGAGUAACCUGCCCUUGUCUUUGGGAUAACUUCAGGAAACUGGGGCUAAUACCGGAUAGGAUCUCCUGCUGCAUGUUGGGGGUUGGAAAGUUUCGGCGGUUUGGGAUGGACUCGCGGGUUAUCAGCUUGUUGGUGGGGUAGUGGCUUACCAAGCCUUUGACGGGUAGCCGGCCUGAGAGGGUGACCGGCCACAAUGGGACUGAGAUACGGCCCAGACUCCUACGGGAGGCAGCAGGGGGAAAUAUUGCGCAAUGGGCGGAAGCCUGAUGCAGCAACGCCGCGUGCGGGAUGACGGCCUUCGGGUGGUAAACCGAUUUCGACUGUGACGAAGAGGGAGUGACGGUAAUGGGUAAAGAAGCACCGGCUAACUACGUG
rnacentral:rRNA from 1 species